rnacentral:lncRNA from 1 species
UCCGGACGUCGGAAAUCAUUGCUAGAUGGUAACUUUGAUUAGUACAGAAAAUGAUUCCUGUGCUAUCGGCUAAGUGUUCGAAUCUAUAGAGUCACGCACAAAGUCAAGCGACAUAGUAAAAAAUUGACCUAAGUCUAUGAAUUCAAUUUAGAAGUAUGUAACUUGAUUGAAUGAAUAGAUUAGCUUGAUUAAAAAAUUAAGUUAGAGAUCAUACGGGAUUAAAUAGUUGACUGUGUCUAGCCAGCACU